GUAGUUAGAGGUGGUUUGUGCUGGUUUGCUCUGGUUAGAGGGGGUUUGUUGUGGUUAGAGGGGGUUUGUUGUGGUUAGAGGGGGUUUGUGGUGGUUUGUUGUGGUUAGAGGUGGUUUGUUGUGGUUAGAGGUGGUUUGUUGUGGUUAGAGGUGGUUUGUGGUGGUUUGCUGUGGUUAGAGGUGGUUUAUGGUGGUUUGUUGUGACCAAAUUGAAAGUCAGAGUUUGUACAGCAGAAAUGCUCCUCAAUCAGGUUGAAUAAUCUGAGAAAAGUUGGCAUUUAUUGCAGGGUUUAUUUCAACAAACUUUGUUUACCUGCAAUUUUGUUUUUCUUCAUGUGUCUGUUCCUGAAUGCCAC
ensembl:lncRNA